AUGACCAUGCGCGUGCGCGAGGGCUUGUAUUGCGCGCGAGGGAGUUUGAAAUGAGCUCACAGGCUCCCGUUUCCUCGCGUCCGAUUUAGUUUUCCUCUCGCGGAAGUGAUUUACCGCGCGAGCAAGCAUCAGUUGUAUUCUCGGUUAUUAUUGGCAUUGAUUUGCCGUCAUACAUCAGAAGAGACACACUGGUGUGAGAGAUCAUAUGUGCUUUGAGUGUGAGUAGACUUUUAUUACAACUGAACAUUUGAAACUGCACCAGAGGAUUCACACUGGAGAGAAACCUUACCAGUGUUCACACUGUGACAAGAGAUUCAUUCGGUCAGGAGACCUGAAAUCACACCAGAGGACUCUGGAGAGAAACUGUAUCACUGCUCUGCAUGUGGUGUAUUCCAGAAAGGAGGUUCAACAAACUCAACAAAGAGUUGAGGCGUCUCCCACAGCUUUGCUCAUAGGUAAUAAACUUAUUCUCCAUGGGAAAUGUACUUGAAAAGUCUUGGUUCCCUGCAUCACGAAUCGGGUGAGCUGGAAGUUUCCACAGAGUUGAAAUUUGCUCUGACUAAUGUGCGGUCACCUACAAGCAAACAUUUAAUCUUAAAGGAUUUCUUUGAUUCUCAGAAUUUGAACAUUUUAUUUUUAACAGAGACCUGGUUACAUACUAGUGAUACUAAGUUCACUUUCUGAGUUGCUAACAUCUAACAGUGUUUUUUUUUUAAUUCCCCGCGGGUCUCUGGUGGCAGCGGUGGUUUGACCACUAUUUUAAAAUGAGCUUGAAUUGUCGGACUCUGCACACUACACAUUAUGCUAGUUUUGUGUUGUUUCAGUUCUGUGCUGUGGUCUAUCGUCCUCCAAAAUUCAACAAGCCGAAUAAGAGAUUUUACAGACUUUUUGGGCGAUGUAUGUUUAAAAUAUGAUAACAUUUUAAUAAUGGGGGACUUCAUUCAUUUGAAAGUUCAUUUAUUUCAGUAAAUCAACUCAAAUGACACAUCUGUGUUACGUAUGUUUUAUUUAUUAGUUGUUUUAAGAAGGCUUUGAGUUUAAAACAUACUGUAAUGCCACCAUAAGAGGAUUAAGAUUGCUAUAUUAUUCUCUCUAUUCUGCAUUUCACCUCUGUUGUAAUUUAUUUCUAAUAAACCUGACAUUGUAUAUUAA